GGGCGUAUAGCUCAGUUGGUAGAGCGAUGGUCUCCAAAACCAUAUGUCAUCGGUUCAAUUCCGAUUGCGCCUG
rnacentral:tRNA from 1 species